rnacentral:rRNA from 1 species
GGAAUACCAGUGGCGAAGGCGGCCCCCUGGACAAGGACUGACGCUCAGAUGCGAAAGCGUGGGUAGCAAACAGGAUUAGAUACCCUGGUAGUCCACGCCGUAAACGCUGUCUACUUGGAGGUUGAGGUUUUAGACUUUGGCUUUCGGCGCUAACGCAUUAAGUAGACCGCCUGGGGAGUACGGCCGCAAGGUUAAAACUCAAAUGAAUUGACGGGGGCCCGCACAAGCGGUGGAGCAUGUGGUUUAAUUCGAUGCAACGCGAAGAACCUUACCUACUCUUGACAUCCAGCGAAGCCUUUAGAGAUAGAGGCGUGCCUUCGGGAGCGCUGAGACAGGUGCUGCAUGGCUGUCGUCAGCUCGUGUUGUGAAAUGUUGGGUUAAGUCCCGCAACGAGCGCAACCCUUAUCCUUGUUUGCCAGCACAUAAUGGUGGGAACUCCAGGGAGACUGCCGGUGAUAAACCGGAGGAAGGUGGGGACGACGUCAAGUCAUCAUGGCCCUUACGAGUAGGGCUACACACGUGCUACAAUGGCAGAUACAGAGGGCAGCGAGACAGCGAUGUUUAGCGAAUCCCUUAAAGUUUGUCGUAGUCCGGAUUGGAGUCUGCAACUCGACUCCAUGAAGUCGGAAUCGCUAGUAAUCGUGGAUCAGAAUGCCACGGUGAAUACGUUCCCGGGCCUUGUACACACCGCCCGU